UACCUACGGGGGGCAGCAGUGGGGAAUAUUGCACAAUGGGGGGAACCCUGAUGCAGCGACGCCGCGUGGGUGAAGAAGUAUCUCGGAACGUAAAGCUCUCUCAGCAGGGAAGAAAAAAAGUCUUUGGAUUUGGACGGUACCUGACUAAGAAGACCCGGCUAACUACGUGCAAGCAGCCGCGGCAAUACGUGGGGGGCAAGCGUUAUCCGGAUUUACUGGGUGUAAAGGGAGCGUAGACGGCAGCGCAAGUCUGGAGUGAAAUGCCGUGGAUCAACCCAGGAACUGCUUUGGAAACGGUGCA
rnacentral:rRNA from 1 species